CACGUAGGGCGCAAGCGUUUGUCCGGAAUUAUUGGGCGUAAAGAGCUCGUAGGUGGUUUGUUACGUCUGCUGUGAAAACCUAGGGCUUAACCCUGGGCUUGCAGUGGAUACGGGCAGACUAGAGGUAGGUAGGGGAGAAUGGAAUUCCUGGUGUAGCGGUGAAAUGCGCAGAUAUCAGGAGGAACACCGGUGGCGAAGGCGGUUCUCUGGGCCUUACCUGACACUGAGGAGCGAAAGCGUGGGGAGCGAACAGG
rnacentral:rRNA from 1 species